rnacentral:rRNA from 1 species
CCUACGGGUGGCAGCAGUGGGGAAUAUUGGACAAUGGGCGAAAGCCUGAUCCAGCCAUGCCGCGUGUGUGAAGAAAGCCUUCGGGUUGUAAAGCACUUUCAGUGGGGAAGAAAGCCUUGGGGCUAAUACCCUCGAGGAAGGACAUCACCCACAGAAGAAGCACCGGCUAACUCCGUGCCAGCAGCCGCGGUAAUACGGAGGGUGCGAGCGUUAAUCGGAAUUACUGGGCGUAAAGCGCGCGUAGGCGGUCUGAUAAGCCGGUUGUGAAAGCCCCGGGCUCAACCUGGGAACGGCAUCCGGAACUGUCAGGCUAGAGUGCAGGUGAGGAAGGUAGAAUUCCCGGUGUAGCGGUGAAAUGCGUAGAGAUCGGGAGGAAUACCAGUGGCGAAGGCGGCCUUCUGGACUGACACUGACGCUGAGGUGCGAAAGCGUGGGUAGCAAACAGGAUUAGAUACCCCAGUAGUC